AGUCUUUUGAAUUCAUGAUGAGAUAUCGUCAGAAAUCAGUUCAUCAGGACUGAUGUAACUUCCGAAAUAAGUGAGGCG
rnacentral:pre_miRNA from 1 species